rnacentral:lncRNA from 1 species
GAAAAAAAAUAAUUUGUUUUUGAUUCUGAGAAAAAAAAAUUGUUUGUUUCACCCUCAGCUGCCACUAUAUGUAAUGCUAAAAUUAAAAGAAAAAAAAUUGUUUUCGACUUGUCGCGAAAAAAAUAGAUUGUUUUUCGCCGCAGGCGAAAAAAAAAAUUUGUCCAGAAAAAAAAACCAUAGCCCCCCCCAGAAAAUCAAAUGGUUGCUGCCUUAC